CUUCUGGGAUGAAGGGUGUGGCUUUCAGUUGAAAAAAACCCUCUGGAGCAACUUCAGGGGAGAGGAAACUGCUGGUGCAGGUUCAGCGGGAGCACUAAAUUGGGAAAUACCAUUCCUAACCCUUGACAACUAUGAAAGCAACCUUUUUUUUUUUUUUUUAAUAAAUGGUUCAAAAAGUACUGGGGAAAAUAUCUAGCACAUUGAGGGAAAUGAAGGUGAACCACACUAUUUGUAUUGCCACAACACCAAUAGCUCUAGAGGUGUGUGACAGGAACCCCAUGUGCCAGAUGGUGUAUGACUAAAAGGCAAAUGUGUGAUUGAAAAGACAGCCCUUGAGCCAAGAAACUUGAAACAGCAAAGAAGAGGCCUCCAGCUGUCUAUGAGCAGGACAGGACAGCGAAUUGUUGGAGGACAGCAGCAAAUACCAUGCUGUACAGCGAGCCAGCAGGACAUACCAGAUCACUGCAGGGAAGCCCCAAAUGCCCAUACUCAUGACACCUCCCUGUGCUUGCAGCCUGUCCACAGAUUGCUGUGCUGAGCAUUGCAAGUACACUGUAAUAAAGUUGUUAUUUUGUUUUACUAUAAAA